rnacentral:rRNA from 1 species
AGAUGAACCCUAGCGGCAGGGCUAAUACCUGGAAGUCCAACGGAAUAAGUUAUGACAAUAUUGCCUUGAGAGUGGCGCACGGGUGCGUAACACGCAUGCGAUCUGCCCCUAACAGGAAUAUAGCCCGGCGAAAGUCGGAUUAAUACUCCAUAACAUUGUACCGUGGAAUCACACAGAAAUUAAUGCUCUUGUGGUUAGGGAUGAGCAUGCGCGACAUUAGCUAGAUGGUGAGGAAACGGCUCACCAUGGCUACGAUGUCUAGGGGGACUGACAGGAUUAUCCCCCACACUGGAACUGAGACCCUUACCACACUCCUACGGGAGGCACUCCUACGGAAUAUUGGGCAGUGGACUCUAGUCUGACCCACCCAUGCCUGGUGCAGGAUGACUGCCCUAUGGAUUGAAGACUGCUUUUGUACAGGAACAAACCCCUUUACAUGUACAGGGGUGACAUUACUGUGAGAAUAACGAUCGUAUAUCUCCGUGCCAGCACCCGCGAAAAUACGGAGGAUCCAAGCGUUGUCCGGAUUUAUUGGGUUUAAAGGGUGCGUAGGCGGACCAUUAAGUCAGAGGUGAAAGUUUGCAGCUUAACUGUAAAAUUGCCUUUGAAACUGGACUUCUUGAGUAUAGAUGAGGUGGGCGGAAUGUGUCAUGUAGCGGUGACAUGCUUAUAUAUGAUACAGAACACCGAUUGCGAAGGUUUCUCACUAAACUGUGACUGACGCUGACGAACGAAAGCGUGGGGAGCGAGCAUGAUUAGAUAGCCUGUCAACCCCCGACCUAAACAGUGCAUACUCUCGG